GGGUGGUUGGUGUAGUGGUAACACAUCGGUCUUCGGAACCGCUAUCGGGGGUUCGAUCCCCUCACCACCUG
rnacentral:tRNA from 1 species